rnacentral:tRNA from 2 species
GGGGCCGUGGUCUAGCUUGGCUAUGAUUCCAGCCUGGGGCGCUGGAGGUCCUGGGUUCGAAUCCCAGCGGCCCCACCA